ACGACAGCACCGAUCUGGCACCGAGUAACGCCUAACGCCUAUCUGGGGACAUUAAAACGUCCCUUGAGCGCGUAGGCAAAGCGCAGAAAAAGGGACCUCUCAUCACAUCUCAUAUCUCCCUUCUUCUCCCUAACCUCCACCGAAAUACCUUCGCACAAUAAAAGGGAGGAGAAGAAGACGACGACGACGACGACGACGACGACGACUGAGGAGACCCAACAGACACGGCAACAUAAAUAAAAGAAAAUUUGUGAUCGAGUCAUCUAUUGUCUGAGGAAGGUCCGUACAUACUGUACAAUGGUUCUUGAGAGCAUUUUGUCUUCUCCUGGGAAGAUAUAUGAAGUGAAGAAAGGUUGAACAAGGAUUGGGAGCAUUGAAGGACAAUGUUUGAAGCAAAAACACUUUUGUCUAGCGAGCAACGUUUUAAAAGACACAUGUCUAGCAACCCUCUAUCAGAUUUGUGAUUCUGCCGUGGAGAAUGUUUCGCAUGUUUUCUCAAGCUGUUAUGCUGCUAUAUGGACUCAAAGAGAGAUUCUUUUCGUCAUCAUCUUCAUUGGAACCAAUUUGAUUCCUUUCUUGGUUGUGUGGAGGCAAAUUUAAAAUGCAAAGAUUCGCGUUGUUUUGGGUUAUCUUGGAAUCUUGUUUUUGUUGUAGCCUUAUGGUUCAUACGCAGGUGGAGAUGUUGUGUUAUAUUUUGUCCUAAUUUUGCUAAGCCUACUGAUCCAAAAAAAAGCAUUUUGGAGUAUUCUAAAGAAUGGCUUAAAUAAUGUUAGCCUUUCUAGUAAACACAAUUGUGUGCAAGUUCUUUUGGCUUGGGUUCCUCCUCCGUCUGAGACCUUUUAAGUUAAAUGUGGUUUCUCUCAUUCAUGGUUCUCUAGCUUUAAUCAUCCUCUCUAUGGUCUUGUCU
rnacentral:sRNA from 1 species